GUGUGACUGCGUACCUUUUGUAUAAUGGGUCAGCGACUUAUAUUCUGUAGCAAGGUUAACCGUAUAGGGGAGCCGGAGGGAAACCGAGUCUUAAUUGGGCGUUAAGUUGCAGGGUAUAGACCCGAAACCCGGUGAUCUAGCCAUGGGCAGGUUGAAGGUUGGGUAACACUAACUGGAGGACCGAACCGACUAAUGUUGAAAAAUUAGCGGAUGACCUGUGGCUGGGGGUGAAAGGCCAAUCAAACCGGGAGAUAGCUGGUUCUCCCCGAAAGCUAUUUAGGUAGCGCCUCGUGAAUUCAUCUCCGGGGGUAGAGCACUGUUUCGGCUAGGGGGCCAUCCCGGCUUACCAACCCGAUGCAAACUGCGAAUACCGGAGAAUGUUAUCACGGGAGACACACGGCGGGUGCUAACGUCCGUCGUGAAGAGGGAAACAACCCAGACCGCCAGCUAAGGUCCCAAAGUCAUGGUUAAGUGGGAAACGAUGUGGGAAGGCCCAGACAGCCAGGAUGUUGGCUUAGAAGCAGCCAUCAUUUAAAGAAAGCGUAAUAGCUCACUGGUCGAGUCGGCCUGCGCGGAAGAUGUAACGGGGCUAAACCAUGCACCGAAGCUGCGGCAGCGACGCUGAUGCGUUGUUGGGUAGGGGAGCGUUCUGUAAGCCUGCGAAGGUGACCUGUGAGGGUUGCUGGAGGUAUCAGAAGUGCGAAUGCUGACAUAAGUAACGAUAAAGCGGGUGAAAAGCCCGCUCGCCGGAAGACCAAGGGUUCCUGUCCAACGUUAAUCGGGGCAGGGUGAGUCGACCCCUAAGGCGAGGCCGAAAGGCGUAGUCGAUGGGAAACGGGUUAAUAUUCCCGUACUUGGUGUUACUGCGAAGGGGGGACGGAGAAGGCUAUGUUGGCCGGGCGACGGUUGUCCCGGUUUAAGCGUGUAGGUGUGUGUUCCAGGUAAAUCCGGUUCACUUUAACACUGAGGCGUGACGACGAGGCACUACGGUGCUGAAGCAACAAAUGCCCUGCUUCCAGGAAAAGCCUCUAAGCAUCAGGUAACACGAAAUCGUACCCCAAACCGACACAGGUGGUCAGGUAGAGAAUACCAAGGCGCUUGAGAGAACUCGGGUGAAGGAACUAGGCAAAAUGGUGCCGUAACUUCGGGAGAAGGCACGCUGACACGUAGGUGAAGUGAUUUACUCAUGGAGCUGAAGUCAGUCGAAGAUACCAGCUGGCUGCAACUGUUUAUUAAAAACACAGCACUGUGCAAACACGAAAGUGGACGUAUACGGUGUGACGCCUGCCCGGUGCCGGAAGGUUAAUUGAUGGGGUCAGCGCAAGCGAAGCUCCUGAUCGAAGCCCCGGUAAACGGCGGCCGUAACUAUAACGGUCCUAAGGUAGCGAAAUUCCUUGUCGGGUAAGUUCCGACCUGCACGAAUGGCGUAAUGAUGGCCAGGCUGUCUCCACCCGAGACUCAGUGAAAUUGAACUCGCUGUGAAGAUGCAGUGUACCCGCGGCAAGACGGAAAGACCCCGUGAACCUUUACUAUAGCUUGACACUGAACAUUGAGCCUUGAUGUGUAGGAUAGGUGGGAGGCUUUGAAGUGUGGACGCCAGUCUGCAUGGAGCCGACCUUGAAAUACCACCCUUUAAUGUUUGAUGUUCUAACGUGGACCCGUAAUCCGGGUUGCGGACAGUGUCUGGUGGGUAGUUUGACUGGGGCGGUCUCCUCCUAAAGAGUAACGGAGGAGCACGAAGGUUGGCUAAUCCUGGUCGGACAUCAGGAGGUUAGUGCAAUGGCAUAAGCCAGCUUGACUGCGAGCGUGACGGCGCGAGCAGGUGCGAAAGCAGGUCAUAGUGAUCCGGUGGUUCUGAAUGGAAGGGCCAUCGCUCAACGGAUAAAAGGUACUCCGGGGAUAACAGGCUGAUACCGCCCAAGAGUUCAUAUCGACGGCGGUGUUUGGCACCUCGAUGUCGGCUCAUCACAUCCUGGGGCUGAAGUAGGUCCCAAGGGUAUGGCUGUUCGCCAUUUAAAGUGGUACGCGAGCUGGGUUUAGAACGUCGUGAGACAGUUCGGUCCCUAUCUGCCGUGGGCGCUGGAGAACUGAGGGGGGCUGCUCCUAGUACGAGAGGACCGGAGUGGACGCAUCACUGGUGUUCGGGUUGUCAUGCCAAUGGCACUGCCCGGUAGCUAAAUGCGGAAGAGAUAAGUGCUGAAAGCAUCUAAGCACGAAACUUGCCCCGAGAUGAGUUCUCCCUGAGACUUAGAGUCUCCUGAAGGAACGUUGAAGACGACGACGUUGAUAGGCCGGGUGUGUAAGCGCAGCGAUGCGUUGAGCUAACCGGUACUAAUGAACCGUGAGGCUUAACCUU
rnacentral:rRNA from 1 species